rnacentral:rRNA from 1 species
AGAGUUUGAUUAUGGCUCAGGGUGAACGCUGGCGGCGUGCCUAACACAUGCAAGUCGAACGGAGUUACGAGAGCUUGCUUUUGUAACUUAGUGGCGGACGGGUGAGUAAUGUAUGAGCAACCUGCCUUUCAGAGGGGGACAACAGUUGGAAACGACUGCUAAUACCGCAUAAUGUAUUUUGAGGGCAUCCUCGGGAUACCAAAGGAGCAAUCCGCUGAAAGAUGGGCUCAUAUCUGAUUAGCUAGUUGGUGGGGUAACGGCUCACCAAGGCUGCGAUCAGUAGCCGGACUGAGAGGUUGAACGGCCACAUUGGGACUGAGAUACGGCCCAGACUCCUACGGGAGGCAGCAGUGGGGAAUAUUGGGCAAUGGGCGAAAAAGCCUGACCCAGCAACGCCGCGUGAAGGAAGAAGGUCUUCGGAUUGUAAACUUCUUUUAUGAGGGACGAAGGACGUGACGGUACCUCAUGAAUAAGCCACGGCUAACUACGUGCCAGCCGCCGC